AAACAGGUGCCCUUAUGAGGGCUUAAUAGGGAAGACCGGUGAAAAACCGGCACGGUCCCGCCACUGUAAUGCAGAGCGAAUCCGACAAAUGUCACUGAGUGAAUUGGGAAGGCUGGAGGAGCGAGGAAGCAGAGUCAGGAGAACUGCCUGUUUUG
rnacentral:ncRNA from 1 species